CGGACGGGUGAGUAAUGCCUAGGAAUCUGCCUGGUAGUGGGGGAUAACGCUCGGAAACGGACGCUAAUACCGCAUACGUCCUACGGGAGAAAGCAGGGGACCUUCGGGCCUUGCGCUAUCAGAUGAGCCUAGGUCGGAUUAGCUAGUUGGUGAGGUAAUGGCUCACCAAGGCGACGAUCCGUAACUGGUCUGAGAGGAUGAUCAGUCACACUGGAACUGAGACACGGUCCAGACUCCUACGGGAGGCAGCAGUGGGGAAUAUUGGACAAUGGGCGAAAGCCUGAUCCAGCCAUGCCGCGUGUGUGAAGAAGGUCUUCGGAUUGUAAAGCACUUUAAGUUGGGAGGAAGGGCAUUUACCUAAUACGUAAGUGUUUUGACGUUACCGACAGAAUAAGCACCGGCUAACUCUGUGCCAGCAGCCGCGGUAAUACAGAGGGUGCAAGCGUUAAUCGGAAUUACUGGGCGUAAAGCGCGCGUAGGUGGUUUGUUAAGUUGGAUGUGAAAUCCCCGGGCUCAACCUGGGAACUGCAUUCAAAACUGACAAGCUAGAGUAUGGUAGAGGGUGGU
rnacentral:rRNA from 1 species